rnacentral:rRNA from 1 species
GAUCCUGCCGGACCCCACUGCUAUCGGGAUGGGACUAAGACAUGCUAGUUGAGUGCCUUCCAGCCAUGUGGGAGGCGCAGCGCACAGCUCAGUAACACGUGGCUAACCUGCCCUUAGGACGAGACCAACCCCGGGAAACUGGGGAUAAUCCUCGAUAGGUGAAGAACUCUGGAAUGAGUCUUUGCUUAAAAGGCGUUGGAUCAUGCUUUCAGCGCCGCCUAAGGAUGGGGCCGCGACCGAUCAGGUUGUUGGUGAGGUAAUGGCCCACCAAGCCUUUUACCGGUGCGGGCCGUGAGAGCGGGAGCCCGGAGAUGGGCACUGAGACAAGGGCCCAGGUCCUACGGGGCGCAGCAGCCGCGAAAACUUUGCAAUACACGAAAGUGUGACAGGGUCAUCCCGAGUGCCGACCGCUGAGGUUGGCUUUUACCCAGUCUAGAAAGCUGGGGGAAUAAGGAGAGGGCAAGUCUGGUGUCAGCCGCCGCGGUAAUACCAAGCUCUCCGAGUGGUGUGGACGUUUAUUGGGCCUAAAGCAUCCGUAGCUGGCUGAACAAGUCCCCUGUUAAACCCACUGAUUUAAUCGUUGGUCUGCGGGGGAUACUGCUCGGCUAGGGGACGAGAGAGGCAGACGGUAUUCCCGGGGUAGGGGUGAAAUCCUAUAAUCCCGAGAAGACCACCAGUGGCGAAGGCUGUCUGCUAGAACGCGCCCGACGGUGAGGGAUGAAAGCUGGGGGAGCGAACCGGAUUAGAUACCCGGGUAGUCCCAGCUGUAAACGAUGCAGACUAGGUGUUUGGACGGCCACGUGCCGUUCUAGUGCCGCAGGGAAGCUGUUAAGUCUGCCGCCUGGGGAGUACGAUCGCAAGAUUGAAACUUAAAGGAAUUGGCGGGGGAGCACCACAAGGGGUGAAGCUUGCGGUUUAAUUGGAGUCAACGCCGGG